CCUACGGGAGGCAGCAGUAGGGAAUCUUUCACAAUGGGCGAAAGCCUGAUGGAGCAACGCCGCGUGGGUGAAGGAGUAUUUCGGUAUGUAAAGCCCUAUCAGCAGGGAAGAACAAUGACGGUACCUGACUAAGAAGCACCGGCUAAAUACGUGCCAGCAGCCGCGGUAAUACGUAUGGUGCAAGCGUUAUCCGGAUUUACUGGGUGUAAAGGGAGCGCAGGCGGCGCGUUAAGCCUGGUGUGAAAGCCCGCGGCCCAACCGCGGGACUGCAUUGGGAACUGGCGCGCUGGAGUGCCGGAGGGGUAGGCGGAAUUCCUAGUGUAGCGGUGAAAUGCGUAGAUAUUAGGAGGAACACCAGUGGCGAAGGCGGCCUACUGGACGGUGACUGACGCUGAGGCUCGAAAGCGUGGGGAGCAAACAGGAUUAGAUACCCGGGUAGUC
rnacentral:rRNA from 1 species